AGUAUAUAAAGAAAUUAUUAUGGAUUAUAAGCAAUAUAUCACAAGAGAGAACAACUAUUUAUUUAAUUUGUGUUUAGUAGUACACAUGAACUCUUAGAGAAAUUAAGUAAAAAAAACGAAGUGAAAAGAAGGCUCUUAGUAACUUUAGGAAAAUAAAUCAAAGGAGAUUCUAUUAUUAGUGUGAAUGAAAAUAGAAAAGCCUAUAAAUAAAUAAGUAAAAUGGAUAUUAAUCUGUUUGAAUUAUAAAGGGGAACCUUCCUCUAAGGCUAAAUAUGAUAUAUUAGCGAUAGUGAAUAGUACCGAGAGGGAAUAAUAUGAAAUAGUAAUUUUAUAAGCAGCUCGAAAACAAAUUUAAAUAAAUAAUAAGAGCGUACCUUUUGCAUAAUGGGUCAGCAAGUUAAUAUUAGAUGUAAGCAGUAUUGCCCAGAUAAAACGAUUAUAAUAUAUAUGAAAAAAUAUCUAAAAUUAGACCCGAAACCUAGUGAUCUUACCAUAAUCAGAAUUAUAAAAGUUCGAACGGGUUAUCGUUGUAAAGAUAUCCGAUGAAUUGUGGUAAGUUGGUGAAAGACAAAACUGACUAGGAUAGCUGGUUUUCCGCGAAACCUAUCUAAGUAGGCCAUUUAAAUAACAUCAUUGCAGGUACAGAAAUUUUUAGAUCUCAUUAAAAACUUACGUUAACUUCUUAUUAUUAAGUAUAUGAAGUAUUCGGGGAAUCGUGAAGAUUUUACUGGUGAGAAAUUAAUCUAGGAAUGGUAAUGAUGAAUGUUGAAUAAUCAGACAUAGAAUGCUAAGGUUGUAUGUCAAAAGGGAAACAGCCCAGAACAAGUGUUAUAAUAAGGUUCCAAAAUUAUUAUUAAGUGAAAUCAAGGAAGUCUUUUGAUUUUAAUUCGAUCAGGAAAUAGGCUUAGAAGCAGCCAUUUUUUUGAAGACCUGCCGAGCAUUGUGGGAAUUUGCUCAUUGUGGGUUUAAAACUAUCAAAUUCCGGAAACACCCUAAACUUUUAAUUACCAAACAUCAAACCUAAAAGGGUUAGGGUGCGGUGGAAGUAAUUACUCCAGUAUGGUAAGAAGAUUAAAGAUCAUCCGAAAGGAUAAUGGGUUAUCGCGGAUCUAAAUCACUUCUAGUGUAGAUAACUCUUUGCACAAGUGUAAAAGAGCAACGAGUAGAUGGUAGUUGACACAAUUUAUUGUGUUUCAGGUGUAUUCUAAUGGGUUUCGAAAGAAACUAUCAACUCAGAAUCCCUUCUAAUCAAAUAAUAAACAAACAUAUAAUUUUCUUGUGUGCAGCACCAAGUAUCUCUUUCUUUUUUUUUUUAUACUGACCUUUAGGUAAGCUAAGUAGAAUUCAGGGGCGGCUUUUCAUGAGAGCAAGUAUAGAUUUAGUGCUAGCACCUCUUUUUUUAUACUCCUAAGGAUAUAUCUUACGCAAUUAUCUAUAGGUUAGAGUCUUUGGAGUUUCUCCCGUAUGUUAUAUGCGAUAGGAAAUCUUGGUAAUUCUUGAAAUAUUCUAGUAGGUAAAGAGUGGUAGCGUCAAAAGUUCUGCCGGCCAUCUGAUCUAUUUGUACUACACUACAACCCCUUUAGGAACGAUUUAGUAGUUGGACUAACCAAUAAUGUCAUUUGUACAUAAGUCAGCCGUUAUCUUGUUAAGUUAUUCGAGUAAAAUUCGAAUGGCGUAGUUGAGGAAGAAAAUCCCUCAGGCAGCAAGGCUCAACCUAUUAGCGUACUAAAGAUUGGCAAGAGGAACUAUCAAGUUACAACAUAUUUGAGAUUCUUUUCAGUGACUCUUAUAUAAAUAUAUUUUUAAUGCUACAAUAAUGAAUAAUAAUAAUUUAAAAAAUAUGAAAUUGAACCCUAAUUGAGUAAUAGGAUUUACGGAUGCUGAAGGUUGUUUCCGUAUAUCGAUAAUUAAAAAUAAAAAUUCUAAAGGGAAAGCACUUCCCUUAUCAGUUCGGCUUUAUUUUCAGAUUGGUUUACAUAGAAAGGAUGAAGCUAUUUUAAAACUUAUUCUAUCAGAGUUAGGAGUAGGAAAAAUUUAUCGAUCACGUGCAUAUUCAAGUGAAUUACAAGUUUCUUCUUUUAAAGAUUCAGAAAGACUUAUUGAUUACUUUGAAAAAUAUCCUCUGAUAACACAGAAAUUAGCUGAUUAUCUUCUAUUCAAACAAGCGUUUGAACUUAUUAAAAAUAAAGAACAUUUGACUAUGAAAGGUCUAAAUAAACUUGUAGCAAUAAAAGCUAGCAUUAAUUGAGGUCUUCCAGAUGAAUUAAAGAAAGCAUUUCCUGAUGUUGACCCAGUUAAGAGACUUAACGUUGUUCAUAAAGAAACAAUAGAUCCUAAUUGACUAGCAGGAUUCACGAGUGGCGAAGGAUCUUUCUUGGUAAGGAUUUUUGAUUCAUCUCACAAUAUAACAGGUAGUCAAGUACAAUUAAGAUUUCAAAUUACUCAACAAUCUCGUGAUCUAGUCUUAAUGGAAAACAUAGUAAAAUAUUUUAGUUGUGGAAAUAUCUCUAAACGUGGAGAUAUUAUAGAUAUUCAUGUAACAAAAUUUAGUGACAUAACUGAAAAGAUAAUUCCAUUCUUUGAAAAAUAUCCCGUCAUAGGAGUGAAAAAGGAAAACUUUUAUGAUUUUUGUAAAGUAGCUGAAUUAAUGAAAUCAAAAGCUCAUUUAACAAAAGAGGGUCUGGAACAAAUUCGUGAAAUAAGAAAAAAUAUGAAUAGCUAUAGGGAAAGUUAUCAGGAUGAGGCUGAUCUCGUAUAAGUUAAAGCAGUUGGUUAUGUAUGGUGUCAUUUGCGGUCUUGAGCACCCCCUUAUUCAAGGGGUUUUAAAUAAAAAUUCUCCUUCAUGUGAGACUAGAUCUUGUAUGAAGGUAAAACUAUUGUUUGUUUGCCGGCUCCGCCGGUGUAUUUGUAUGAAAAAUCUGAUUGCUAUGCGUAACAGAGCACUGGUUAACAAUGUAAAAAGGCAUUGAAAAUUUAACGGAUCUAAAAUAAUAUACCGAAACCUUGUCUAUAGUUAUAAAUAUUUAGAUUGUAUAACUAUAGGGUAGCGGAACGUAGGGGAUAUAAAAGAAUUUGUUCUUUUUAAGAAAAAAUAAUAUAACUCUAGUGAUAAUGCUGACAUGAGUAACGAUAAAGGCCAAUCUAUAGGUUGACCUCGCCUUAAGCUUAUGGUAUAGAUAAAAGUAACGGCCUCUAAGUUUAUUAACCUAAAGGACUAAACGAUGAGAAAACCUUGUUUAUAAAGUAAUAACCUUUAAAUUUUUAAACAUUCUGGGGUCGCACGCCCUCUAUCCUCUUUAGGAUAGAGUGAGCGCGGCCCAAUAUCUGAUGUAAAUAAUAAGUGAUGAAGAGUUCAGGAAAAACGAUAAACACUUAACCGUACCUAAAUACCAGCUCAGGUAAGCAAGUAGAGAAUACGAAGGCGUUUGAGUGAACAAU
rnacentral:rRNA from 1 species